CCUCGUCCACCGAGCACCGCCAAGAAACACUGAAGACCACCACAUAACACCAAGGUCCACUGAGGACUGACAAGGACCCCCAAGGACCACUGGAGAACCCAAGGUAUUACUGAGGACCACUAAGACCACCAAGGACCACUGUGGACAACUGGAGACCCUCAUGUUCCACUGAGUACCACUGGAAGCUGUUGGACUCCCUUGGAGGCCAUCAAGGACACCAGAAGGAUCCAAGAAACCCCGAGUGACCCUCGUCCCGUCACUGCAACUCCUGGAGAAGGAGCGGAGCCGCCACCAUGCCAUGAGUGUCUCUCUGAGUGGGUACUGUGCUCCCUUCUGCCACUGCUGCUCUCUUGCCCGGUGGAGGCCGUUCAGCACCAGGAGGCUGGGGAGGCUGGUGGAGGGCCAGGCAGAGGGCAGAACGGCUGCCUUUCCCCUCUAGCUGUGCCGGGGUGCAGGGAUGGGUGUGCAGUGGCAUGGUGGGCUGGGGGCCCUUUCUGCUGCAUGGUUGUUCCCUAAGCACAGCCUGGUUCUUGCAGGCUCAUCUCAAGCACAGGCCUCCGACGAUCCUGUCUAGCAGCGAAGGGGGACUUUGCCACUCACCAGGUGAGUUUGGGAAAGAAAGGCUCCUCCUGCAAUCGGCUGGGCUGUGCUCCUUGUCCCUUGAGUGUCCCUGUGCAGGUUGGGCACCCCGAGGGAGGACGUCAACCAGAGGAGAAAGGACAGCGCUUGGCAGUGUUCGCUGGACGUGGUUCUGCAGGGACACGCAGCCUCUGGUGCUGCCCACAGCCUGGAGGAGGACAGGGCCAGGGCUGGGCCAGGCUGUCCAUGGACACACCGGCUCUCAGGAGCCCCCGAGUCGGAGCAGUUGAGCCGCAGCCACGGUUCCAGCUGCUGGCUCCCCUGCCCGUCCUGCCGCACCGCUCAGCAUGGUGCUGCAGGCAGGGCAGGGCAGGCUCCAG